rnacentral:rRNA from 1 species
GAUGAACGCUGGCGGCGUGCCUAAUACAUGCAAGUCGAGCGAAGCGGGGACGGGGGAGUAACACUUGGAUAAACUCCUCUAGGACUGGGGUAAAUUCGGGAAACCGGAGGUAAACCCGAUACUGAUAGCUGGAUCCGAUCGGCAUUAGCUGGUGGGUAAGGUAACGGCUUACCAAGGCAACGAUGCAUAGCCGACCUGAGAGGGGGAUCGGCCACACUGGAACUGAGACACGGUCCAGACUCCUACGGGAGGCAGCAGUAGGGAAUCUUCCGCAAUGGGCGCAAGCCUGACGGAGCAACGCCGCGUGAGUGAUGAAGGUCUUCGGAUCGUAAAACUCUGUUAUUAGGGAAGCGGUACCUAAUCAGAAAGCAACGGCUAACUACGUGCCAGCAGCCGCGGUAAUUC